AAGAGGAAGUGGGCAGGGAAGCCCCGCCCCUCGGCUUCUCCCGCCCGCUCGCUGCCCCCGGAAAAGCGGAAAGAGAGGAAGGAAGGCGGCCGGGAUGCGGGUCGCCGUGGACUUCGAGGAGGGCCUCAAGGACUCCCCGCGGUUCAGGGCUGCGCUUGAGGAUGUGGAAGGAGAUGUGACGGAACUAGAACUGAAAUUGGACAAGUUAGUGAAGCUCUGCAUUGCCAUGAUUGACACGGGGAAAGCCUUCUGCGCGGCCAACAAGCAGUUCACCCAUGGCAUUGUGGACCUGGCCCAGUACUCCAAGAACGAUGCCCUGGUGGAGGGCAGCCUCACCAAGUUCUCAGACACCCUUCAAGAGAUGAUCAAUUAUCACACGAUCCUGUUGGACCAGACCCAGAGGUCCAUUAGAGCCCAGCUGCAGAUGUUCGUGAAAGAAGACAUCAGGAAAUUCAAAGAGGCCAAGAAGCAGUUUGAGAAGGUCAGCGAAGAGAAGGAGUCCGCCCUGGCCAAGAACGCCCAGGCCCCGCGGAACAAGCAGCACGAGGUGGAGGAGGCCACGCACAUACUGACCGCCACACGCAAGUGCUUCCGCCACGUGGCCCUCGACUACGUCCUCCAGAUUAAUGUCCUCCAGUCCAAGAGGAGGUCCGAGAUCCUGAAGUCGAUGCUCUCCUUCAUGUAUGCCCACCUGGCCUUCUUCCAUCAAGGCUACGACCUCUUCAGUGAACUCGGGCCCUACAUGAAGGGUCUGGGGGCUCAGCUGGAGCGCCUGGCUGUCGAUGCUGCAAAGGAGAAGAAGGAGAUGGAGCAGAAGCACUCCACCAUUCAGCAGAAGGACUUCUCCAGCGAUGAAGCCAAGCUGGAGUACAACGUGGACGUGGCCAGGGGCAUCGUCAUGGAGGGAUACCUCUUCAAGCGUGCCAGCAAUGCCUUCAAGACCUGGAACAGGCGCUGGUUCUCCAUCCAGAACAACCAGCUGGUCUACCAGAAGAAGUUUAAGGACAAUCCCACCGUUGUGGUGGAAGACCUGCGGCUCUGCACCGUCAAGCACUGUGAGGACAUUGAGCGCCGCUUCUGCUUCGAGGUGGUCUCUCCCACCAAGAGCUGCAUCCUCCAGGCAGACUCGGAGAAGCUGCGCCAAGCCUGGAUCAAGGCCGUGCAGACCAGUAUCGCCACGGCUUACCGGGAGAAAGGAGAAGAGGCCGAGGGGGAGAGGAAGCUGGCCCCUUUGGCAGGGAGCCCUGAGCCUGGCGCAGAGUCCAAGGAGAAGCUGCUGAAAGGGGAGAGCUCCCUCCAGAGGGUCCAGAGCAUUGCGGGCAAUGCACUCUGCUGCGACUGCGGCCUGGCGGACCCACGGUGGGCAAGCAUCAACCUGGGCAUCACCCUCUGCAUCGAGUGCUCUGGCAUCCACAGGAGCCUGGGCGUCCAUUUCUCCAAAGUCAGGUCCUUGACGCUGGAUUCGUGGGAGCCGGAGCUCCUCAAGCUGAUGUGUGAAUUGGGGAACGAUGUCAUAAACAGUAUUUACGAAGCAAACCUCAAGGAAUCCGCUGCCAAGAAGCCUCUGCCAGGAAGCGACAGGCAGGAGAAGGAGGAGUACAUCCGGGCCAAAUACGUGGCCAAGAGGUUCGUGGCCAAGCGCCCAGCUACCCCUGCUGGACCAGGAGGGAGGCCUCCCCCACGGCCCAGGCCAGAGGAGCCCCAACUGCAGAGCGCCCCUGAGGAGCCCCCGCCUGGCCCUGGGAAGGAGCAGCAGCAGCAGGAGGAGGAGGAAGGGGAGGCACGCCUGAAAGUGGUUGGCUUAAGUAGUGACCAGGCCAGGCGGGAGUCUCUCUUCUGCCCCGAUGAGCUAGACUCGCUCUUCUCCUACUUUGAUGCCUCCUCAAAGAUGCGCAGCAUGCAAAGCAGUGAAAGUGGGUUCCAUCCCAGUGUGGACGACAACAGAGGGCACCCGGCCGCAACCUUGCCUGCAGGAGCCUUGCAGGAGCCAGGGGGGGAGCGCCCUGCAGCCCCCGCCCCUGCUGCCCACAGCCCUGCGGCCAGUGCCUUCUCUUCCUCCUCCUCCUCCUCCUCGCUGGACGCGGAGCAGUUCCUGGCGGGGCAGGAGCUCUACCAGGCUGCCUACGAGAAGAGCCUGCCCCGCAUGGCAGAGGCCCUGGCCCAUGGCGCAGGCGUCAACUGGGUCAACGCAGAGGAGAACCAGGCCACACCUCUGAUCCAGGCCGUCCGCGGGGGCUCCUUGGUCACGUGUGAGUUCCUGCUCCAGAACGGGGCCAACGUCAACCUCAGGGAUGCCCACGGCAGGGGCCCCCUGCACCACGCCACGGUCCUCGGGCACACGGGGCAGGUCUGCUUGUUCCUGAAGCGGGGCGCCAACCAACACGCCACAGACGAAGACGGGAAAGACCCCCUGAGCGUGGCCAUAGAAGCCGCCAACGCAGACAUCGUCACCCUGCUGCGCCUGGCCCGGAUGAACGAAGAGAUGCGGGAGUCGGAAGGGCUGUACGGUCAGCCAGGUCAGGCCCCCAACACCCACACCGAGAUGCAGUACCGGACUUGCAUGCAGGAGUUCAUUAGCCUGCAGCUCGACCAGGCUUAGCUCUUUAGGCCGGGGCAGAAGGCAUGGGUGGGGGUCAGGUGGUGACGGUAGGGGUGGGCCUCCCCUGACUUUUGACACCCUCACCCCUGGAAGUUGGCUUGCUCUGGAGCAAGGGGUCCAGCCCCUCCCAGGUAUCAUAUCCCUUUGGCACACCGCUGCCUCAGGAGUCCUGGAGGUUGGAGGGCCCGCGAGAGCUGACCGUUGGCUUCCCAGCCUGGGCCCCACUCCCUUAGGCUUGACCAGGAAAAGGGAGGGCCUUCAAAGCCUUCAGGCCUUCAGACCUUCAGGGUGCAGCACCCGCUGUGCUGGCAGCAGAGUGAGGGGGCUUUUGGAGGAGUGCAGGGGUGGGAGGCCCACCUUCUGGGGCCCAGGGGUCUCAUUCUGCUCCCCUGGGGCUCUGGGUCUGGCCAUGGCAAGCUCUGGCUGGCGUUUCUUGCAGGCCUUCUUUGUCCUGAGGGGGGGGACACCUGCAGUUUUGGGUCUCCGGAGGGGGGGCGCUCUUUGGGAUGCACUCCUUUAGGGAAGACCCUGGGUGGGUUGUGUUGUUGGAGGGGCACUUGACACACUUCCUCCCUCCUUUCUCCUCUUCCUCCUCGUCUUCCUCCUCAGAGCAGCUCCCCUUUUUCUGUGUGGAAGGAAAUGGGGUGGGGUGGGGAACCCCAGAGAGCACUUUGAAUGUUUCUAGAGGGUGAUACCCUUGAAUGUAGUGUGGAAUCCAAGGGCACUUUAGUUUUCUUAUUGUGGUUAUUGUUGCCAUGAUUUUGGUCAGGGUUUUCUCCUUCCAUUUUGAGCUGCCAAAAAAUUGCAUCCAAAGACAAGGGAGUGCCCCCCCCCUCGGGACUGCUUCCAGGGGGCCAGUCCUUUUGCUGCUCCCAGUUUCAGAGGCUGGUCUCUGGAGCCCUUCCUUCUUCUCCCUGGCCAAGGGUCCUGGCUUCUCCAUGGCACAAAUGCCCUCUGCACAAGAAAAGCACUGGCUGGACCCUCACUGAGGGAUGUGGUGGCUCAGGGUUAGGGUUAGCGCCUUUCCUGGGGGGGGGGGGGGGUGGGGGAAGAAGGGCUGUUGACUUGCACUCCAUGCCACCCUUGAGUUGCCAUUAGGGGGAGGCAGACCUCCAUCCCUCCUCAAAUACCUCAGUUCUGCUACUCAGGAGACCCCCCCCCUGCCUCCACUUCUCCUUGCCUUGCUGGGCCCCUUCCAGGGACUUCGGGGGCUCUUUCCUUUCUGUGGGGGGGGGGUUGUGCCAGGGGCUGCUGCUGCUUUUCUCUUUUCCGUUCUGCUUGCCUUGCCUUUCUUCUAACUCUGAGCUUUCCUGCCUGGCUGCCUGCCUGCGAGGGCCUCGCCUCAGGGGAUGAGACCUACCAGGACAUCUUUCGGGACUUUUCACAAAUGGCUUCCAAUAACCCCGAGAAGCUGAAGCGCUUCCAGCC